AUGUAUGGUUUUUGUCAUUCUGUAAAUGAUUAAAUAUUACUCUUAGUAUAUGGUUAUCUUUCAAAAUUUUUAAAAAUUUUGAUGGAUUAACCUGUAAAUUUUUAGGAAACGACUGGUUAAGAUAAAUCAAGUGGUAUGUGUGCUUAACCAUGGCCGGGGUGAGGUUAAAGAAGAAAGAGUUAAGAAUGGAUUUAAAUCUAUCAAGAAUUGGAGAGAAGAGAUAAACAGAGUAAAAAAAAGUAUAAAAGGGGUAAUCUUAGUACAUAAUUAUGAUUACACUGUAACGUUAUAAGUUUAUAGAUAAGAGAGGGAGAGUACCGAGUAGGAUUUUUACAACGUAAAGUUUAAAACAAUUCUACUAUACCGUUAAUGUCUGGUAAUCGAAAUAAUUAUACAUAUCAAGAAAGCUUUGCUAGAAGCCUUACUUUAAGUCUAGGAGAGUUUAUUUUAGACAUAGACACAUGAUUUUGUUCGAUAGUAGACUACGCUAUACACUUUAUGGGUAAUCUUAGUACAUAAUUAUGAUUGCACUGUAACGUUAUAAGAAAAGAGAGGGAGAGUAUCAGGUAGAAUUUUUACAACAUAAAGUUUAAAUCAUCUUUUACUACGUUGUUAAUGUCUGGUAAUCGUAAUAACUAUACCUAUCCAGAAAGCUUUGCUAUAAGUCUUACUUCAAGUUUAGGAGAGUUUAUUUUAGACGUGGACACAUGAUUCUAUUCGAUAGUAGACUACGCUAUACACUUUAUUUAUAUUAUAGAAUUUGCAUAAAUUUAUUUAUUAAGCAGUUAUUUCUUAUAAUUAGUAUUCUAGAAAUUCACUUAUCUAGUUUUUCUAGAUAUUACUAGUUAAACUUAGAAAGAAGACAAUAAGUAGAAGAUAUAUAUAUGGCAGAAGAAGUUGAGCCCAAUAAGAUCUUUAUCUUCUCUCUUUUUUUUUGGGAGCAACACAGCUAUAUUAAAUUUAAUAUAUAU
rnacentral:lncRNA from 1 species